AAAUCGAUCUGGUAUUAUCCAAUUUAAGUCUCCGUUUUCUGCUUUUUCAUAGUGUUCAUAUUCAUCAAGGUUAAAUGAGUUGAAAUUAAGGAAGCCAUACUGCAUUGCCUUCUUUACUGCAUGAAAACAGUCAAGAAGUGUAAUGUAGAAAUUGCAGCUUCCAUAGGCAGCAUCUCUGAAAGGAAUAUAGGAUGUAUCUCCAAAGAUUAAUAUUCUAUAUGCUGCUUCUGGAGUUCUCCCCAAAUAUAUAACCAUGUAGCAUCCAACAAGGAAGGCAGCAUUGGCUUGUUUUCUCUGAUCAGAGCCAGUAAAAUGAACAAUUUUCUUCCUUAACAUUGUAAUUGACUUUAAUUUCUUAUUUAUCUUGCAACAAUAUCUGUAAACCAUUGCCAGAUUGAGUGGUCCAAAGUCUUCGCAGAAGUUCUCAUAUUCGAGUUCAUUAUCUAUGCUGAAAUAAUGUACAUUUGAUGCACUCUUUGGUCUGCUGUUGAGAAUGGCAAAAGGAAGGCCAUCGGUGAUGUCCAGGUACAGGUCGACCUGGGGGUCCCGGGGGCGUGCGUCCUGCUGCGUGGAGCUGCGGAUCUUCUGCACAACCUGCGAGGUCGAGGAGCAGCGCCAUGAGCAGGGAGACGCGGGGGCCCAGCUCAACCGUCCCUCGCUUUUCUGCUUCAUGGAGGCGACCGCGGCCUGUCAGGGAGCAACGACCAGGGCCCCGCGCGCCCGUGCGCCCGUGAGCCCACCGAGGCUCCCGCCAGCCCCGCGCUGGCGCUCGGUUGGUGCAGGAGGCGGGGGUUCCUGCAGGAGCUGGAGGAGGGGCCUGGCCCACAGCGCCUGCCCCGCUCCCUCCCGCGACCGCCCUCCCUUUGCUUUUCUAA